ACUAUCCAUUUAAAUUCUAGGGAUUUAUUCUACAGACAUACCUGCAUGCACAUGAAACAAAGCGUGUCCACAGUUAUUCUCUACAGCACUGUCUAUGAUAGUGAAACUUAAGAAACAAUGGAAAUACUUAUCAAUAGGCAAAAUGUGGCUGGACAAAUGAUGACCAUCCAAACAAUGGAAUACUGUGUAGCUAUAAAAAUGAGCAAGGAAACUCUUUCUAUAUUUGAUGUGGAAAGAUCUCCAAGAUAUAUAAUUAUAUGUAAAAAAGCAAGAUGUAGAGAGAACAAUGUAGGUAGUUGGUGAUCUUCGUGUAAAAAAGAUUGACCUCUGAACAACACAGGUUUGAAUUGUUUGGGUCCAU
rnacentral:lncRNA from 1 species